rnacentral:rRNA from 1 species
AUUGAACGCUGGCGGCAGGCCUAACCCAUGCAAGUCGAGCGAGCGGCGGACGGGUGAGUAAUGUCUGGGAAACUGCCUGAUGGAGGGGGAUAACUACUGAAACGGUAGCUAAUACCGCAUACCAUCGGAUGUGCCCAGAUGGGAUGAGCUUGUUGGUGGGUUAACGGCUCACAAAGGCGACGAUCCCUAGCUGGUCUGAGAGGAUGACCAGCCACACUGGAACUGAGACACGGUCCAGACUCCUACGGGAGGCAGCAGUGGGGAAUAUUGCACAAUGGGCGCAAGCCUGAUGCAGCCAUGCCGCGUGUAUGAAGAAGGCCUUCGGGUUGUAAAGUACUUUCAGCGGGGAGGCGUUACCCGCAGAAGAAGCACCGGCUAACUCCGUGCCAGCAGCCGCGGUAAUAC